rnacentral:rRNA from 1 species
CUACGGGCCGCAGCAGUGGGGAAUAUUGCACAAUGGAGGAAACUCUGAUGCAGCAACGCCGCGUGGAGGAUGACACUUUUCGGAGCGUAAACUCCUUUUAUAUAGGAAGAAGAUGACGGUACUAUAUGAAUAAGCGCCGGCUAACUCCGUGGCCAGCAGCCGCGGUAAUACGGAGGGCGCAAGCGUUACUCGGAAUCACUGGGCGUAAAGAGCGUGUAGGCGGAUUAAAAAGUCAGAAGUGAAAUCCUAUAGCUUAACUAUAGAACUGCUUCUGAAACUCUUAAUCUAGAAUAUGGGAGAGGUAGAUGGAAUUUCGGGUGUAGGGGUAAAAUCCGUAGAGAUCAGAAGGAAUACCGAUUGCGAAGGCGAUCUACUAGAACAUUAUUGACGCUGAGACGCGAAAGCGUGGGGAGCAAACAGGAUUAGAUACCCGCGUAGUC